rnacentral:lncRNA from 1 species
UUUGCUUAAACAGAUAUCUCUAUCCAAGAAGAAAUAAGCCAAAGGGGUAUUUUCCAGAAAGGACAGGGAAAAGUGGAGCUCAUGGACUCAUUCAUACAUGAAUAAGCACAAAAGUCCUUGGAACUAUACACCACAAAAAUAAAAUUCCAACUGGACAACAAAAAGAGAGGUUCAAGAGCCAUAAUCGAAGCUAGCUAGACUCAAUGGAUUUCCCUUUGAGGAGUGACCGGUAGAUAUUUCAGGAUUUCAUUAACUGUAUUGAACACCUAACAGAGAUGGUAGUCUAUUUCUUGUUUGUGGUAAAUGGUUUCAUGGGAACCAAAAGCAAUAUACACUCAUCAAAAUGCGUUGGAUUGCUUCAUAUUCCAAGCCUUGUUUAAAAAAAGAAAAGAAAAGAACAACAUUAUUAACCAAGGUUGACUUAACCACAACUCCCGUUGGCUUCUGUGGGAGUUUUGCCAUGGCUGAAGACCACAAAUAAGACCCAUGCUCCUGGUAAUAAAAAGGCUGCCCAGAUACUGUGGAAAAGUUGCUGAACCUCAGAGUGAAAGAAAACACUUUCCUGUCACUGGAGACGGCUCCAUGUUGACUUCCAUUAAAACGUAACCUGAGCCCAGGAUGCAGAUGAUUAGAAUGUUCUUGGAAUAAUGGACAAAGCUUAUUUUACCCAAAGAGCAAUCAUGCUCUCCAGACAGGGGUGUGUGUAGAGGGAACAGGGGUGCUGGCUCC